rnacentral:lncRNA from 1 species
CCAGAACGUGCGUAACAGGCCCGAUGAGGGUGCCAGGCUGUGGCGACCCCCGAGCUUCAGAGGAGAGGGGCACCAGCCGGGGGCCCUGCACAGGCAGCCUCAGAGAGAGGAAAGCUCACGAUCUGGGAGAACUCCAGGCCUGGCCCAGUGAAGACGUCCUUAUCUUCAGCAGACAUUGCCCAGUGCAAGGGGAGGGAUUUUUAGGGCGGCAAGCUCAGGUGGACAGGCAGUUUUAUUCUGUUUCCCAUGUCAAGUCCAGCCCCAGACUGACUUUCUGAGGUCACAGACGGAGCCUCACCCCAUCCAAGGCGGUGUCCUGGACUCCCACUGUGCUCCCCAGAGGGCAGGGUACCUGGGGCCCAGCCCGGGCGGCAGGAGGGACUCAGCCCCUCGCCCAGGCAGGAAGGGUCCCAAGCAGAGGCCCCUCCCUCAGGCACUCCCCAGCCCACACCUGCAGCACUGGGACCAAGACUAAUAAAACACCAGCCUCACGGAA